UCCAUACUCAAAAUGGUUUAGCAGAGGCAUUUAUCAAGCGGCUUCAAUUAAUAGCCCGCACUCUGCUCAUGAAAACGAAAUUGCCAGUUUCUACAUGGGGACAUGCCAUAUUACAUGCUGCAUCAUUGGUUAGAUUGAGACCCAUAGCCAACCACCAAUACUCAUCAAUACAACUCGUGUUUGGACAUCAGCCAAAUAUUUCACAUUUACGAGUUUUUGGUUGUGCUGCUUAUGUGCCUAUUGCACCACCACAACGAACUAAAAUGGGACCUCAGCGCAGAUUGGGAAUUUAUGUGGGUUUUGAUUCACCAUCUAUCAUUAGAUAUUUGGAACCUUUGACUGGUGAUGUGUGUUUACAGCUCGUUUUGCUGAUUGUCAUUUUGAUGAGACAAUUUUCCCGUCGUUAGGGGGAGAAAAGACCGUUCCAGAAGAACGACAAGACAAGAGCUAACAUGGGUUGUUCCCACCUUAUCUCAUUUUGAUCCAAGAAGCACUCAAUGUGAAAACGAAGUGAAAAGAAUCGUUCAUCUUCAAGGUAUUGCUAAUCAAAUGCCAGAUGCAUUUAAUGAUGCUUCGAAAGUGACACAGUCAUAUUAUACCGGCUGCAAACGCACCUGCAAGAAUUGAUGUCCCUGUUGGACAAAAUAAAGUGGCAGCGAAUGAUUCAUCCAGUGCACGCCUGAAAGCGUGGUAGACCCCCAGGUUCAAAAGAUUCAGCUCCUCGAAAGAGAAAGAUGAGGGCCCAAAUUGAACCCAAAUGAUAUCAUUCAAGAAAAGGAAUUGAAUGAUAAAUCCACAAUUCGUGACUCUGUACUUCCAGAAAAAGAAAAUGUCCUUGAUGAGACACAUGUCCCUGAAGAGAUAGAAGUACAUGAAAGCAAAGAAAUAUCCAUAAAUUAUGCAUGUACUAAUGAAUUGUGGGAUCGAAAUGAAAUAAUCAUCGAUGACAUGUUUGCAUUUGCAAUAGCCACUGAAAUCAUAUUAAGUGAUGAUAUUGAGCCCCGCUCUGUUGAUGAAUGCAAACAGAGACAAGAUUGGCCUAAGUGGAAAAGAUGCAAUCCAGGCAGAAUUAAAAUCCUUGGAAAGACGAAGUGUUUUUGGACCAGUAGUCCAAACCCUGCCUGGUGUGAACCCCGUAGGUUAUAAAUGGGUAUUCACAAGGAAACGCAACGAGAAAAACGAGAUUGCAAGAUAUAAAGCACGACUCGUUGCACAAGGUUUUUCACAAAGACCUGGAGUUGAUUAUGAAGAGACAUACUCUCCUGUAAUGGAUGCAAUUACGUUUCGUUACUUAAUAAGUUUGGUGAUUUCAGAAAAACUUGACAUGCGACUUAUGGAUGUCAUCACUGCGUAUCUAUAUGGAGAAUUAGAUACUGACAUAUAUAUGAAAGUCCCAGAAGGACUUAAGUUGCCUGAAGCAACUAACAAACCACGGGGUAUGUUCUCAAUCAAAUUAAGGCGAUCAUUAUAUGGGCUGAAACAAUCUGGGCGAAUGUGGUAUAAUCGUCUCAGUGAGUAUUUGAUUAAAGAAGGAUAUGCCAACAAUGUCAUCUGCCCUUGUGUGUUCAUUAAGAAAUCAAAUACUGGAUUUGCUAUAGUGGCAGUAUAUGUCGAUGAUAUGAACCUAGUUGGAACCCCCCGAAGAGCUCAACAAAACUGCUGAAUAUCUGAAAAACGAAUUUGAAAUGAAAGACCUUGGGAAAACCAAAUAUUGUCUAGGCCUGCAGAUCGAGCAUUGUGUUAGUGGAAUUUUGGUCCAUCAAUCAGCUUACAUUGAAAAAAUACUGAAGCGAUUUGGCAUGGACAAAGCUUAUCCACUUAGCACCCCAAUGGUCGUUCGUUCUUUGGACAUUAAGAAAGAUCCAUUUCGUCCAAAAGAAGAUGAUGAACUGGUCCUUGGUCCAGAAGUACCAUAUUUGAGCGCAAUAGGUGCUUUAUUGUAUUUAGCACAAUGUACUAGACCAGAUAUAGCUUUUUCAGUUAACUUGUUAGCCAGGUACAGCUCUGCUCCAACAAUUCGUCAUUGGAAGGGAGUCAAAGAUGUUCUACGAUACCUUCGUGGGACAACAGAUAUGGGUCUCUUUCUACUCAGACAAGCCCACAAAUGAACAAAUCCUUGUUUGGAUACGCAGAUGCUGGUUUUCUCUCCGAUCCGAUCAAUAAAGCCCGCUCACAAAAUGGAUAUGUGUUCACUAAUGGAUGGAAACACUGCAAUUUCAUGGCGAUCAACAAGCAAACGCUAGUUGCAACAUCUUCUCCAAUCAUUCGGAAUAAUUGCUGCUUACAUGAAGCAAGUCGUGAAUGUGUUCUUGGUUAAAGAUCAAUGAUCCAUCACAUCCGGAAUUCAUGUGGUCUACCUUCAACCUUCAAAAACGAAGACCACUGAAGAUCCAACUUGUCAUCCAUGAGAUUUCAAAUGUAAGCCUGAAGUCGCCAAGUUUAUCAAAAAAGGAUUUAUCAAUAUCUCCAAAUGAUUAGCUCAAAGUUAGCUUUUGAAGGCUAAAGUUCUUGAAGUCAGAGACAAAUCCGAUUUCCAAUGAAAAUUUACUUGUUCACCAAAUCUCUACCAAAGUGCACAUUUCAGAAGUUGGUACAGGGAAUCGGAUUACGUCGGCUUACAGAUUUGAAAAAUGCGGAAUCAGGGGGAGAUACAAUUCAGGGGGAGCAUCCAUGAUACAUGCAUGUUGUACUCUUUUUCCUUCGCUUAGGAUUUUUCCCCACUGGGUUUUUCCUAUCAAGGUUUUAACGAGGCAACCUAAGCAUGCUCAACACCAUCCGGGUAAAGUUGUACUCUUUUUCCUUCGCUAUGGUUUUUUCCCACAGGGUUUUUCCAAGCAAGGUUUUAAUGAGGCAACUGAUGUUGAUAUGUGGGCAUCCAAGGGGGAGUGUUGUAAAUGAUGGGUAUGUUUGCCCACAUGUGUAUAGUAAUGUGCAUAGUAAAGUAUCACAUGUGUACUAUAUACUCAUAAGCUAAAUAGUAAUGUUUUGUAAUUUUCCAUUGAAGUAGCUCUAUAAAUAGAGCAAUUCAAUUGUGCAAAGAUUAGUGAAUGAGAAGAAGAAAGAAAAGAGAAAUAUAUCUAAUAGCAAUAAUAUACAUUACUUCCUCUGCAACAGCUUGUGUCGGUAUAUUACUCUGCAACUGCUUCGUUCCUUCACCGAGUAAAGGUUAUCUCUCUAUAAAUUUUGCCUAUUUAUAACAGGCUGAACUUUUUGAUAUUUAUAGAUAGAAACUUAUCAAUUUUUUCUUUUCUUUCUAAAUAUCUUUUAUAAUCCCUUUUAGUUUGGACUAUAUAUUCACUUAAUCAAGGUUAUUUUUUCUCAAGUAUCAUUUUUUAUCUCUUUUUAGUUCAUUUUUUUUGUUCAAGCGAUAGUGAAAUAUUCAUUUACUGAUUGGAGUAAUCGAUGUAGAAAUUUCAUGGUAAAAGUGGAGAUCAAUUCCUGCUUUUGAAAUUUAGUGUGUGAUCGCUCAAGUAGUUGUAAUUACUUUCUAUAAAUCCUUUUUAAAUCAAAUAAAAUUUUCCCUUCUACAAAUUUAAGGAUUAAUAUAAUUCUUAGUGCAAUAUUCCAAAAGUUAUUCAAUUCAUUUUUUCAAACUUGGUUACUUCAAAUAUUGUUCACUCCUGGUCAAUCCUAAGAUGAGCACUAAAUGGAUUUUCGCUUAUAGUGUCAAAUAAAACAUAAACACUUUAGAACAUAAUUAAUCAAUUAAAUUAAAAACAAUAAAGAAGAUCAUGAAAGGGGCUUGAAAGACUGUCCUAAGUCGAAACUUAAUCUUCACAAACACUUAAGGAAGAUUGAGAAUGGUAAGAUAUUAAGGUUGAUAUGUUUACCAAGCCAUUCUUUAAAGCGAUUUCGAAGCUACUAAAGGGCAUUAAUAUGAAAAUACAAACAAGGCUAUCACAUGAGUAAUAUUCAAAAAUUAAACAACUCCAAAUAAUUGACAAAGAUAGGAAAAACUUCCUAAAUUGAAUUUGGGUCAAGAAAUUGUCAUCUGCAAAUUGUCUAUUCCAAAAAUUUUUGAUUGGAUUUAUCUUCUGGAAAAUUCUGAACCAAUAUGGUGAAACAUUAUUAAAACACACGAUCUCUAUUCUUUCAAAAUAUUCCACCAAAUACUAUCCAACAUGGCAAAAUCGAUGAAAGCUUCAAAUCUUCCAAUUGAUUAAACUUAACAAGAUGACUAGCAUGGUUCAUGAACUUAAAAAAUAACUGUUACAUAGUGAAAGAAUAAACCCUAAAGAUAAAUAAAAGGAACUUAUGUAAUAACAAACAAUGACACAAACUAGGAAAGAAUCCUUCUUGGCUUGGGAAACAUGUCAUCUGUCUUGCACGCCAGUUUUGGGAUUGAUUUAUCUUCUGGAAAAUUCUGUAAAAAUAUGGGAAACAUAGCUUUAUCUCUUAUCUUUCCAACCAUAUGUCGCACACCACUAGGAAAAUCGGGAAAGCCUUCAAAUCUUCAUUCUCCUACAGCUGUGCAGUUCUGACUGUAAAACAACUGUUGCGGGAUUGAUUUGUGAAACUGGAAUGAAUGGCUCCAUGAAAAAUUAUGAAAUUCAGACAAAACGAUCUUCAGCCUCUUAGCUUCAUUCUCCAAUUGGCCAUGCAUCAAAACUCCUCCGGAAAGUCGAAUUAUCACCAAAAACGUCAUGCAUGCGCAGAUUGGCUGAAACAGAGAAAAUGAAAGUAAUAAGGUUCUUUUAUAAUAAAUUCCUUAACAAAACAUAGGGAUAAAUGAUAUGAAAAUAUGAUAAAUAAUGCACCUAUCAAAGACAGUACUAGCAUUCAUUCUAUUUAUGUGCAGCACCUUAUUUACUUCUUGCUAUUGACGCAUUUUACAAAUUUUAUGUAAGAAAAAUUCAGUUUCUUAAUUAUUAUUUAAAGAUUAUUUGUAAAAAAGUUUUUUUUUUUGAAUUAGAGAUUGUUUAGACAUAUAUAUAUAUAUAUAUAUAUAUAUAUAUAUAUAUAGAUGAUUAAACGGUCUCCGAUAUAAUUUAUAAUUUAUAGAGAUGAUCUUUAAAAGAGAAUUAAGGAAAUGAAUAGUUUUGAUUAUGAACUACUUUAUACGAAAAAAAAUACAUUAAUCGCAUGAGUGGACAAAGUGGUGCACUCCAUGAGAUCAUGGACUGAGCCACCUCUAGCUCAGAGGGAGCGGAUGCCCUCACUCAUUUUUUUUGGGUGGAAAAAAUGCACAUAAUGCAUAUAGCAAUCUCACGUGAUAGAGUUGUUUGGGCUAUGAAAUUUUUGAUAAAUCGAUUGAGAAAUUGAUUGGAGGAUUAAUGGAUGAGUAAUAACAGGUUAUUUUUAUAGAGAUAUUUGAUGGUAUUGGUAAUUAAGAAAGUAUGUCAAGUAAUAUUGUAAUAUAUUGUAUAAAAAACCUUAUCAGUUAGUAUUUUGUUUAGUAAAUUCUUAAGCUUUUUAAUUCGUGACUUUGUUGUCUGAGGAUGCUGCCAUCCAUAUAGAUAUUUGGCUUCGUCUCUGCAUGAGAUGGAUGCAAGUAUUUUCCAUAUUAGAAGGGCAUUUUGAUCUUUAAAUUGGUAUUUCACUUCCAUUUAGGGGUUGCAAAUGAUUUUAUGUCUUUGUGGACAAGUAUUUUGGAGAAGGAAUUCAGUGGAAAAAGAAGAGAAAACGUAUAGUGAGGAGAACAAUCGAAGCAACCAACGUGUGACACCGUCUGUGGACGGUGGAUGGGUUUUUUUUUUGUGCACUACUUUACGUAGAAGAUAAACAAAGCAAAGCAAACAUACAUAAAUAUAUAUUUCCUAAAGACUAAAGAGUAAAGACCAGCUGCUUUUGUUUACCAAAAAUAAAAUAAAAAUAGACCACAAGUCCAACUGGGUCAAGUAAGUACCAUUUCCGUGAAAAACUCAUGUACUCGUAAUUUUUGUAGAUUUUUGAUAGAGUAAUGCUAGGAAGACUAAAUUUACAAACUAAAUGAUAUGUAACCAAUAGGAAUAAACACGUUUAUCAAUGUUUAAGUAAUCAACCAAUCAUCAACUUCCAUGUUCUUUAGUUUUCAAAACUUUGUCUCCAAAUUUAAUCUCCCUAACAUUACCCUUCUUGAUUUAUGUUCAUAGUCUUUAUUAAUUAAAGCCCGUUAAAGUUAAUAAAUUAAGUUUAUGGGUUGGUCAAUUGUUCCGCGGGGUGAUCAUUAUCAUGCGUGUUAUAUAUAUAUAUAUAUAUAUACGGUCUAAUAAAUUUAUAUACGGGGCAUCGAUCUCAUCUUGAUCAUCAUAAUAAUCGUGUAGGUUGAUUGUAUGAUUUGGUUAAGGCAUUUGGACGACUAAAAUGCUUACGAGUACGGCAACUAUAUAUAUAGUAUGUAUAUAAGGGACAUUCUACAGUACUAAUUAAAAUAAAGUGUACGUGGUAUCCCUUGUGAAUAAAUUACAUUAUAAUCUCAAAAGUUUACUGUCUAAAUGUUACAUAGUAAUGGUGAACUAUAGAAUUAAUGAUGUUAUUUAUUAUACUUAUCAGCUUUGAUUGGUAGAAAUUGAAAAAUAUUAUAGUAUACAAUUAUCCGUGGACGGUAUCGUCGUUAUUCAUCUUAAUUUCACACUUAAUGAUAUUCAAUAUUACAAUAUUACAUUAAUAUUUAAUGUAAGAAUUACAAGGAUUGUAAACUUACACUCUAUGAUAAUAGUAAGAUUAACACAAAAUGACACUGUCAUGAUUAUAACGAGAUUGAUUUUAUCGUUUGUUGUGAAUGUCAUAUUACAUCAUAUAUAUAUAUAUAUGUGUGUGUGUGUGUGUGUGUGUGUGUGUGUGUGUCUGUGUGUUCAAACAAUUAACAGGAACGUAGACAACCGAUAUUCCCCAAAACGGCAGUAGCGAGUACGAGUUAGGAUCCUGGCGUACGCCAUCUAGAGAUUUAAGCGGUCCUUGCAGUACUGUAGUGCAUGCAUGUUUAGUCACAAUAAUUUUGAUAGUGUGAGAGCGAGGUGUAGAUUCUAGAAAAUGAUCGCUUCAGUGCGGUAUCUCCCAUGGACCAAACAAGUACGUACGUGGUUUCAUCUCCUUGUUUGUUGAUCGAAAUCAUUAGUUGAGAACUAACAACAACUCAUCAUCGAUGGCCUUCUUUCAAAGAUACUUUAAUCUUUGAGAAAUUUUUAUGGUCUAAUUUGGACUACUUUCUGCCAGAAACAUCGAUUUUUCUGAGAAUUAAACUCACAAUCUUAUCCCACUAAAUCCUUUUAGUUAUUCAUAGGUUGAAAAAGCAAAAUUGAUCUGAUUUAUUGCUUAUAUUAUAAUAUAUAUAUAUAGUGUUUUUUUCUUGACAUGUUAAAUAAUCAAAGUCGAUUAUGAUUUCAGUAUUUGAUCAUUGUAUAUGUUUAGGGAAACUUAAUUCCAAUAUAUACUUGAUCAAUAUGUGAAAAAAGACUUCCGCAAUUCAAUGAUUAAUUUCAAUACAUCAGUUUUGUGUAUCUAAAUAGCAUUAUUAUUUCUAUAUAAAUUUGAAAUUGGAGCAACUUUAUAGCGUGGAGCAACAUUGCAGGCAUAUAACAGUUAAAAGGCCACACAGCGGGGUGUGUGUGUUGAAACCUUGAUCACUUUGAUGCAAAAUCAUGAAUAAUUUACUAAAUAGGAACAAAACAUGUUGCACGUUUGAUGAGGCUAAGAACAGAUGGAAAUCAUUUGUUCUUCUAUUUCUGUAAGUUCUUACAAGGGAGAAAGGUGAGAUAAGGCUACAUGAUAAUUAGAGUAUAUAUCUGUGAACACGGAAAAUUCCCGAAAUUUCGAUGUCUACAAUAUCAUGUGUUGAAAGAAUAGAAAUGAAAAAAUAUAAAGGAAAAAAGUUACUUUUUUUUUUUCAACUAUUAUUGUUUGCUGCAGGAAAAAGUGAAUUUUGGAUUUGGUGGCUGAGUUUAUGAUACUCAAAUGCAAUGAAUUUGGCCAAGGAGAAUAGUUGAUCGGCUUUUUGCUCUUAUAAAUGGUUCACGUUUUAUAGUACAGUGAAAUUGUGAAAAAAUAUCUUACACCGGAAGUUAUAAAACGGUGCAUGUGAUUAUAAGAAGAUUAUUCAUCUCAUAUUAGCCAUGUUUUUACGGUGACUUCUUAACUUCCUUAAAUUAUAUAGUGUAGUAGAAGAGGUGAUCUGUCGGAGGGUAAGUACGUAAAUGUGAAAGAAAGGACGUGGCAAUUAGGUAAACUAAAAUCCCGAAGGGCAAGUUUAUCUCUAUUAAUCUCUAUUAAUUAAUGAACCCUCUUUGUCAACCAAAAAGGGUGAAAAAACUACUUAGUCUUCUAUCACACUCAAAAAAAUGAUGGGCAAUAAUGUAAUUUCAUAGGUCCAAAUUUUACUGUUUUUUAUUGAGACUUCACCUACAUAUGAUGUUAAAAUACCUCCAAUAUUUGAAAAAAAAAACCUCUCACUCCCCCCCACGUUCUCUCUCCUCCUCUCUACUUCUCAUUUUCUAAAAAAAUAUGUUCAUACAUACAAAGUAUGUAGGUAAAUGCCAGUACCUAUUAUAUCAGCUUUAAAUCAGUUAAAGGCUCAGAGCUGUGGCUCAUUGAAGAAAAUGAAGUGGAGGGUGGUGAAUUGUGAUAUGGACGUGCAGUCCACGUAGGACGGUGAUGGUCGGCCGUGGCCUCCAAUCAUGCGGCUGACCGCAUCAUUGAACUCCCUGUGGUCCCCGGCAUAACAUGGCUUUUCCGUCCCUAAAUAACCCUUCCUCUCCAUAGGUUCUUACUAGCUAGAUGGGACGGCGAGCGAACUUAAGAAUCUCUCUCCCCAUCUAGUGGUUGAGUUAUCAAACUGCUUGAUAGUUAUUUACGCGUGUAUAGUCGAUCACUAUUGAAAGCCAUUUAUAUGAUUUGAGAUAUUGUCACGGUUGCAUGGUUACAAAAAAUAAGUGUAUUUAAUACAUCUAGUUUACGAGGUAUUGAAUGCAAUGGUCAUGCUAUUGCGACAUUAUCCAAAGCCAAUAGUCACUGUCAUGUCAAAAGGUUAAACACAUAAUUGUACAUAACUUUCGAACGUCAACAAAUAUUACAUCAUGAUAGAAGUAAAUUUCUCUUGUAGUUUAUACGUGGUCUUACUUUCUAUCAUGAGGUGUUUUUCACACACACUUUUCAGCUUCUCAUUCACUCCUCUUGAUUUCUAGUCAUCGGAUUCAAUAUAUAAACGAAUACAACGAUCAAGAUUAAACAAGGUGUGUGAAAGGCUAAAAAAGAUAUGUGUUUAUCGUUUCCCUUUCUAUUUUACUAUCAUGAAAUUUCCAAUUAUCAGCUUUUAGUACCCAAAGUGUUUUUGUGUCACUUUCUUACUCAAAUAUUUUAUUUUUUUGGUACUUUCAUACAUCCGUUAGCUAUCGACUAUUUGCUAAGUCUUCCUUUUACCUAUGACAUGACAUGCCUUUGAGCUGCCCAGAAGUUUAUUUUUGGUGAGGCAACUUAAAGAAACAAAAUUUGGAAGGCAGAAGGCCUAAGUAAAAAUUUUAGGAGACCGAAGGUUUCCAUGUCAUCAGUUAAUAGAGAAUUUAACGAAUAGACUUAACAGAUUUAUGAAAGUGGUAAAUAAAUAAAUAAAAUCCACGUUUGGGGCACAAAAGAGACGCAAAAAAAAAAAAACUUUUACUAAAUGCUGAAUUAGAAAGUUCAAGAUAGUAAUAUGAAAAUUAUUCUACUUUCCAACAAAGAGUUAGGCCAUUAGGCUCAUUCGAACUAUAAAAGUAUGUUGAUGAGUUAAACUUGAUUUAACCAAAAGUUGCAAACACAAAAAUGAAAAAGCUAGCUGUGUUGCUUCAAAGGAAAAAAAAAAAAAAAAAAAAAAAAGCUAGCUGUGUCGAAAAUGUGACUGUUAGGGUUAGCGUAACCAGCAAAAGGAGAUUCUUGGGGGUCCUAUUAGGAUCUUUUAGACCUUUUUGACAUCGACCACCCUCCAAACUUUCUCUCUCAAGUCUCAACCUCAGAAUUACAACUUACCCUUUACGAAUUAUGUUUUGAAAUCAUGUCUUCUUUCUAAUAUAUGGUUUUCAUGGCGGUUGGUGAAGAGAAAUAUCCAUGAGUUUUGUCAAUUAAUAAUUAAUUACUAAUUACACAUAACAAGUAGUAGAGACUUUAUCAUCACUCUCUCUUUAUUUUGAGGUGUGAAACACAAGGUUCCUUCAGGGACAUGGAUCAUCAUUGCAUUUGUUAUAGCAACUAACUAUAAGUUCUAAUUAACAUUUUAUUUAAAAAAUAUAUAUAUUACUUCUAGGCUCUAAGACCAUAGAGGCUAUAAUUACAACGAACAAUUCUUAGAUCCUAAUUGAUGGAAUUUGUUUGUACCUUUUCUAGAAUAUUUGUGAGUGGAAAAGGUUGAAUUAAAACGUGUAUUUUGUCAUUUAUAUGAGGUGAUGAUUGAUAAUGCAAAUUAGAGUGGGUAUAUCCUGUGGCUAAUUUAUAUAAGCAUAUAUAUAUGAUCAUAUUUGAAAAGAAAAAAAAACGAAGUUAGGGACAUGAUACGGAGAUUGUAUCAUGGAUCAAUGUUUUCUAAAAUGGUAGUGAACUGGAAAUAUUGUAGUUAUGCAGGUUUUGUUAUUGGAAUCAUUGUCAUAGAAAGAUAGAGAAGAGUGUUGGAGACUCAUGGUGUGUGUGUCAAUGAAGUAACAAUGAAACAGACUGAAAAAAAGAAGGGGAAAAGAGCAUAAAGCAAUGGUAGUACAGACUUUCUAUGAUGUCUGAGCGAUUGAAUUGGUAACAUUAAUUCAUGAGAAAUGGUAUUGGCACAUGUGCUGCUAAGUGUUAUAUUUGAAUUGGUUCACUGUAGACAUCUUUUUCCUCAUUUUUUUUCCCUUAUUCAAUAAAUGUCGUACGUGAGAUUUGAACUCUGAACCUGUUUAGUAACACUCAAUAUAUAGUGGUUGCAUGUGAGAUUUGAACUCAGAACCUCUUUCAACUGGGUAAGAGUGAUGAUAUUGAUAAAUAGGUUAUCAUCUUGAACAGGAACUCUCUAGAGGAUUGAGAAAGGAUUGGAAUAGAUGCCAUGAUGUGCAACGGGGUUAGCUGAGGGGUCCUCUGCAAGCAGCAGCAGCAGCACAUAUAGCUGUGAAAAUGAGAGCUUUCUAAGGUUUCAAUGAAGAGUCCAAGUCGAAUCGAUGAUGAUGAUGAUGGCAGUUAUGAUAAUGCGUCAAUAGAAUAGACUUGUUAGAUUGGUUGCUUGUAUUGCACAGACAUGCCUCUUCUGGUUCUAGAUACAUUUUGCCCCUGAUUAGACAUGUUGAUUUGUGCUUGUUUUUUUGUCAAAAAAAGGUCUAAUAUAUUCUUGCUCUCUAGCUCUUACUGUUGUAAAAUCGACUGUGGGUGCAGUGGAAUAAAUGAAACAAGACACAAAAUUUACGAGGUUCCUCUACAGUCAGUGUGACUGGAGUACGUCCUCGGGGCAGCAGCGGCGCUUUCAUUAUAAUUUGAAAUAAUAGGAGUACAAAGAUAACUCUCUCUAUUAUCUCCUCUCAUCUUCCUCUAUUCUCUCUUCCUCUUCUUUCUCUCUCUUCUUUCCUCUCUCUCUCUCUUCCUUUCUUCCUUUCUUCCUUUUCCUUCUUCUCUCCCGUGAACCCAUUUCUUCCUCUUCCUCUCAUUCAUUUUAUAAUCAAAGAGGACACUAUUCACCUUACAAAUUUUCCACAAAUGAAUAGUGAAAAUAAUGUGAAUAAAUAGUAACAAACUAUUCAUGUGGGCCAUCCACAUAAUAUUUACAACACUCCCCCUUGGAUGGCCACAAGUCUUCGAUUGACUCGUUAAAAUCUUGAUCUGUUUUUGGAUGCUCCCCCUGAUGAGUAUCUCCCCCUGAUUUCAAAUCAUUUAGGUUGAUCGUUGAUCGUUCUGCUUUAGUCUCUUAGUAAGAAGAGUUUGCUUUACUUGUUGUUAACUUUCCACAGGCUUUUUUCUUGAACUGAGUUGUAGGACUUUCUGCUAGACUAGUAUCGAAGAUCUGAAUUUACUCCUUUUAUCUGGAGCGGAAUUUGAUUCAAAAGUGGUGGACACUUGAUCUUGAAUCGGACUUGUGAUUUCUUCAAGGACCUUCGAGGAUUGAUCUUGAAUGAAAUUGGACCAUGAGGAGCUUCAUGUGGCAAGUGAUCUUCAGUUUUGUUAGGGAUGAAUCAACACGCGUUUUGUUGCGCUUGUCUCCACAUGCUUCAAUGUAUCAUUUUCACUUUCCUUACUUGCUCCCCUUGCUUAAGUAGUAUUUUCCUUGCUUUUCCCCCAUGCAUGUGUGGCAUCUUCUCUUGUAGGAUUUGUCCCCUGAUGCAGGAGAGGAAUGCAAACCCUUGCAUUUGAAUGGUUCAUCACUUCUUGGUGACUGGAGACCCCGCUCCAACAACAAUUGAAGAUGACUACUCGAGAGCAAUACUAGGUAAGCAAUCGGGAAAGGUUCCAGGCAGUCGGUUCCUUACCGGGAGUUUGAGUGGAGGUUCCGACAUAUUGCUUUCUUUAUCCUUGUCUUUGCAGGCAAGAACAAGGACAAGGAAAUGACAGGGAGAUUGCAUGAUAUGAGAUAAUCUUGCUCUGGUCCCUGAAGAUAUGUGAUAAUCUUGCUCUGGUGUGACAUGUUUGAAGAGGUAUUCUCGGAGAGGAAGAAAACUGAGUAUUUCGAAAUGCUAUGUUGAAGAUGCAUUCUCGGAGAUGAGGAAGAGUUAGGUAUUCUUGCAGUGUUGCGGGUCUGCCUUGUUAUGGAGAACAGAGGUCGACAUAUAUAGAGAUUUCUCAAUAGCAAGUGGUGGUGCUGUGCUUUUACUCUUGUCAGCAACUGUGGUGUAAAUAGAACAGUAAGAUUUACGCGUUUUCAACUUUGUCAGAGAUCUUUGACAAAGUUGCACGCGAUAUCUGAAAAGCUGAGAUUACGUCUGAAAAAUGACAACGAACUUUAUUCAGGAAAAUCUGGCUUUUUGAAAUUCGGAGAGCCGUGUCGCUUCGAUCUUUGAACAAGCGGCUCUGUUGCCUCUUCUUUUAUAGAGACAUCAAUUGCGUUCAAGAGUAUGUUCAGAAAGUUGCUACUUGAGAAAUUUCCACCUUCUUGCACUUCUGAAAUUUUAUUUGACCUCUAUUUUUUCCUUCAUCAUUUCUGAAAAAUGACUUGCCCAUCUAACAUUUGCUUAGAUUUGAGUCUUAGGAGUGAUACAGACGAGCAGCGUCAAGAUAAUAUAUGGCGCCCGUCCUUCUUAUCUUCUAAUGGUCCUCUUACGGUUGGGGACUCUAUGAUGAAAAAUAACAUAACCGCUACUGUGGUAGCUAGGAAUCUUCUCACUCCAAGGGAUAACAAGAUCCUUUCAGAACGGUCUGAAGAGUCGGCCGUUCAAGACUCCUUGGCUCUUAGUGUUCAGUGUGCUGGCUCUGUGUCCAAUAUGGGCCAACGCUUUACUUGCUCAAACUCGCCAAAUUAAAUCAUUGAUGGCAGAGAUGACAAGUCUUAAACAAGAGAUCAGAGGGCUCAAGCACGAGAAUAGGGUGUUACACGUGCUUGCAAAUAGUUACUCUACGAGCAUGAAAAGAAAGCUCGUCCAACUGCAGGAAUCCGAAAGUCGGAUUCAAAGUGAUCACCAGAGGUUCGUUGCUAGAUUCCGAAAGCAACUGAUGCCUUCCCCUUCUGGUGUUUUGCUAAGUACUGGGGUGCCACAUGAUCAAUCUCCAGUGCCUCCCCCUUCUGGGGUACUUCCGAGUACUGAGGCUUCACAUGAGCAACCUUUGUGAAGGCUCCAUCCUGUUUGUUUAUUUUUAACUCAUGUGUAUGUAUAUAUCUGUAAUUUCUUGGAGAUAUUAAUAAAUAAGCUUUAUUUCAUUCAAUGUAUUGUGCCAAAUACAAUAAAGCAUAUACUUCACUAAGAUGUGGUACUUCUGGACCAAAUAUUAAUUUAUCUUUACCCUCACGAAGAUAAAUGAUUAUUCUUAGUGUCUUCAUCAUAUGAGUAUUCAACUCAUAAUCUUCAAUCCAUAUGGUUCUUUUAAUAUCAUAAAUAUCAUGGAUAAGAUUCGUGUUGGUAGAUUGUUCGAUCUGCAGCUCGAGACAAUAAUUCCUUCAACACUUUAUAAUUUUUUCUAGACUCUUCAGGAGUCCCAAUUUAAUAUCAUCAACUCUUCAAGAGUUAUAAAAUUUAAUGUUAUUGACUCUUGCAAGAGAUUUUAGUAUGUUGCAACAAUAUCAUAAUGAUAGUACUCACUAAGGCAAUUUAUAUCAUCCAUUGGUAUUGAGUACAUAUUUUAUGUUUUACCCUUCAGAGGCUUACUUCAAGCAAUUUGAAUCCUUCAAGGGUUUUCUACACUUCAUGACACAUUUUCCUUUGGAAUUUAUACAGAGCAAUUUGCUCCCAUGUAUACUUGAGGGAUUUACUUAUGGAAAUAUAAUGUGGGCGACUCACAACCCUUCGUAUAUAAUUCUCCAUUCAUAUGAACUCGUUUACAACUUGUGUCAUAUCAUGUAAGUGUAUUACACUAUAUUACAAAUGCCCAUAUAUAACCUCCUUGGUUUAACAUUCUUUGGCUAUUUGUAUUGUAUUCAAAUAUAUAUAGGUUCAUUUGCCCACGUUCUUACAAAAUUUGUAAUGGAAUUGCCUUUCUCCAUUUUGGCCAAUAAUUUUUCUUUUGUCGACGAACAAAAGAACGUGACUCAAUAUUAACACAACUCAUUGAUGAAUUUAGUAGCUACUUGUAAAAACCAAAAUUAUCAUUGGUUAUCAUCAAUCCGUGAUCCCAUAUUCUCAUGUGCAUGCGCAUGCAUAAAAGCUUUUCAUUUCUUUGGAUAUCCAUUGCCUCUUCAAGGGCAUGACGCUAUCUCUUCCAGGAUAGUCAUAAUUGAGAGAAUGUGGAUCAUAACCUCCUCUUGAGUGUUAUAGAGCUUGGAUUUUAAUCUCCACUUCCGGGAGUUGAGUCAUUGGAACCUAUAUGUCUAUUAUGCUUCGUGUAUGAGACAUCAACAUUCCCAUGUCUGUGGAUUGUCCUAUCUGGGACGUGUAUCCAUGCGGUGACUGUCAUGCUUCUGGCAUGCAACAGUUAUGCUUCGGGAAUGCAAUAGUUCAGUAGUGCCAUAUUAUUCUUCUUUCGAAUAACUGAACCUUUUGAGUCUAAAAAUCUGCCAUGCUUCAGGCGUGCAACAGAUAAAUCAUUUACUGUCUCAUUAUUUUAUCCAACUGAGACAUCAAUUCUUGUAGGCACAUUUGCAGUAAGUAUAUAUGAUUUCAUCACUUUCGUUGCAUCAUUCAAUUAUUCAUAUUUCAUUUUCUCAUUGAUUGCUUUGUGAAUCAAAAUAAGACAAAUUCUCUUCGUUCUUCUGGAACGGUCUUUUUUCAUCAUUCUUUUUGGAAUGAUAUUUUCUCAUCGUUCUUCUGGAACGAUAUUAUUUUCUCCCCCUAAUGGCAGGAAAAUUGUCUUAUCAAAAUGACAGUCCGCAAACCAAGCGGUAAAUAUAUCCCCAGUCAAGGGUUCUAAAUAUUGAAUGAUAGAUGAUGUUCAACAUCAAUGCCCAUUUCAGUACGUUGUGGCAGUGCAAUAGGUACAUAGAUAACACAACCAAAAACUCGUAAAUGUAUAAUGUUUCGUUGGUUCCCAAACCCGAGUUGUACUGAGAAGUAUUGAUGGUUGAUAACAUAUCUCAACCGAAUUAAUAAUGCAUCAUGUAAAGUUUACAUGUCCUCAUGUAGAAAAUUGGCAAUUUCGUUUUCAUGAGCAGAGCGCGGGAAAUCAAUUUCAUUCGCUUAAUAAAGGCUUCUGCUAAACCAUUUUGAGUAUGGACAUAAGGAACUUCUGGUCCUUAUUUAAUAGUCUGUAAACUAAGACUCUUAUGGCUUUUAUUACAAUUAAGUUAAGGCACUGCGGCACUUCAAACUUACGGUACUCAUCUAGGAACUUCAUGUCCUGAUCUUCAGGAUCAAGGGACUUCAUGCCAGAUCCUUUUGUAUGAUGGAACUUCGGGUCCAAUCAUUUUAUAUGAUGAGGAUCAAGAAACUGCAGGUUCUGAUCUGAUCAAGGAACUUCAGGUCCUGUAUAUAUUCAUAGUAACAAAAGAUAAGUACAAUAAAUAAAUUAAAGCAAUAGACGGUAAUUCCAGCCAUAAUGAAUAAAUUGCAUUUAAGUAAAUAAAGUUUGUGACAAGGGCUUUAAUUCAGCACCAUCAAAACUUAAAGCAAUAGGCGGUAAAACCGUCCAUGGUAAAUAAAUUGCUUUAAAGUAAAUAAAGCUUGUGACAAGGGCUUUGAUUCAGCACCAUUCACAUAAAUAUCAAAGCUUUAAAGCAAAGGGUAAUAAUUCUACCCACUAUAAAUAAAUUGCUUUAAUAGAACUUGUGACAUGGGCUUUAAACCAACACCAUGCACAUAAAUAUGCCAAAACAGAAAUGCAAUGAUUAAGUCCUCAUGUUUUGCUUUUUCAUUUUCUUGGUCUGCCACUUCUUUUGUUUCAUCCCUUUUAUUUUUAUUAUUAUUUCACAGUUCGAAGUCAUUUUGGUUACUCAGUAAAUAAUAGUAACAAUUAGUUCCAAUUGGUGUUCCUCCUCCGGUGAGUUUCGAAAAAGUCGAAACGGUUCCCAUAAGUUUUGGAGUCAAGAGUGUCUGCAACUUAUGAGAAGAUCUAACCGUUAGUUUUAAUUCAAAAUUUAGUAUGAUAUGGAUAAGAGGAUACCAAACAACUUUCGUGAAGAAACAAUUUCGAUUUGAGCUAUCGAAAUGGCGUUUUGGUACUCAUAAGGUGGCUGCCCAGUUUUCUGCGGAAAUUGGAAACUGGUUUGGUAUUUCAGACAUCUGCCACGAUCGCACCGUUAACAUUUUCUGAAAUUUUGAUAUGUUGUAGAUACUGAGCAGACGAACAACUUUCAAGAAGAAAGUAUUUCAAUCCGAGGUCCGCAAGUUAGAGUUCCGAGGCUAUUUACAUGGCUGUCAAAUUCUUUACGAAUUUUGAGUAUGUACUCUUUUGCUUCUGCAAAUGAUGAUAUACAGUCAUACAACAAUAUAUAUAGUUGCUUCAAGUAAAUCAAUUGUACUGAGAUUUGAAGAUGAAAUGAAAAUUGUUUCUUAUCUGUGAGAUUCCAGCUGAAGGAGGUGAACAGGAUUUGUGGCGUUGUGCUUUCCACUGACAUGAGAGCUUCUCGUGCUGAUAACGUGUUGUAAAAUCGACUGUGGGUGCAGUGGAAUAAAUGAAACAAGACACAAAAUUUACGAGGUUCCUCUACAGUCAGUGUGACUGGAGUACGUCCUCGGGGCAGCAGCGGCGCUUUCAUUAUAAUUUGAAAUAAUAGGAGUACAAAGAUAACUCUCUCUAUUAUCUCCUCUCAUCUUCCUCUAUUCUCUCUUCCUCUUCUUUCUCUCUCUUCUUUCCUCUCUCUCUCUCUUCCUUUCUUCCUUUCUUCCUUUUCCUUCUUCUCUCCCGUGAACCCAUUUCUUCCUCUUCCUCUCAUUCAUUUUAUAAUCAAAGAGGACACUAUUCACCUUACAAAUUUUCCACAAAUGAAUAGUGAAAAUAAUG
rnacentral:lncRNA from 1 species